UACGUAGGGGGCAAGCGUUAUCCGGAUUUACUGGGUGUAAAGGGAGCGUAGACGGCUAUGCAAGUCUGGUGUGAAAACCCGGGGCUCAACCCCGGGACUGCAUUGGAAACUGUGUGGCUUGAGUGUCGGAGAGGUAAGUGGAAUUCCUAGUGUAGCGGUGAAAUGCGUAGAUAUUAGGAGGAACACCAGUGGCGAAGGCGGCUUACUGGACGAUGACUGACGUUGAGGCUCGAAAGCGUGGGGAGCAAAC
rnacentral:rRNA from 1 species